UAGGAAAUUAGUCUGAACAGGUGAG
rnacentral:piRNA from 2 species